rnacentral:tRNA from 1 species
CAAGGGGUAGUUUAUUUAAAAUAUUAAUUUUGGAGGUUAAUGAAAAGUUUAUUAAUUUUCCCUUGA